rnacentral:rRNA from 1 species
CCUACGGGAGGCUGCAGUGGGGAAUAUUGGACAAUGGGCGAAAGCCUGAUCCAGCCAUGCCGCGUGUGUGAAGAAGGCCUUCGGGUUGUAAAGCACUUUCAGUGGGGAAGAAAGCCUUGGGGCUAAUACCCUCGAGGAAGGACAUCACCCACAGAAGAAGCACCGGCUAACUCCGUGCCAGCAGCCGCGGUAAUACGGAGGGUGCGAGCGUUAAUCGGAAUUACUGGGCGUAAAGCGCGCGUAGGCGGUCUGAUAAGCCGGUUGUGAAAGCCCCGGGCUCAACCUGGGAACGGCAUCCGGAACUGUCAGGCUAGAGUGCAGGAGAGGAAGGUAGAAUUCCCGGUGGAGCGGUGAAAUGCGUAGAGAUCGGGAGGAAUACCAGUGGCGAAGGCGGCCUUCUGGACUGACACUGACGCUGAGGUGCGAAAGCGUGGGUAGCAAACAGGAUUAGAUACCCCUGUAGUC